GACGAACGCUGGCGGCGUGCCUAACACAUGCAAGUCGAACGGAAAGGCCCUGGCUUUGUGGGGUGCUCGAGUGGCGAACGGGUGAGUAACACGUGAGUAACCUGCCCUUGACUUUGGGAUAACUUCCGGAAACUGGGGCUAAUAUCGGAUAGGAGCUCCUGCUGCAUGGGGGGGGUUGGAAAGCUUCGGCGGUUGGGGAUGGACUCGCGGCUUAUCCGCUUGUUGGUGGGGUAGUGGCUUACCAAGGCUUUGACGGGUAGCCGGCCUGAGAGGGUGACCGGCCACAUUGGGACUGAGAUACGGCCCAGACUCCUACGGGAGGCAGCAGUGGGGAAUAUUGCACAAUGGGCGGAAGCCUGAUGCAGCAACGCCGCGUGCGGGAUGACGGCCUUCGGGUUGUAAACCGCUUUCGCCUGUGACGAAGCGUGAGUGACGGUAAUGGGUAAAGAAGCACCGGCUAACUACGUG
rnacentral:rRNA from 1 species